AACGAACGCUGGCGGCAGGCUUAACACAUGCAAGUCGAACGCACUCUUCGGAGUGAGUGGCAGACGGGUGAGUAACGCGUGGGAACGUACCUUUCGGUUCGGAAUAACCCAGGGAAACUUGGGCUAAUACCGGAUGCGCCGGAAACGGGAAAGAUUUAUCGCCGAAAGAUCGGCCCGCGUCGGAUUAGCUAGUUGGUGGGGUAAAGGCCUACCAAGGCGACGAUCCGUAGCUGGUCUGAGAGGAUGAUCAGCCACACUGGGACUGAGACACGGCCCAGACUCCUACGGGAGGCAGCAGUGGGGAAUAUUGGACAAUGGGCGAAAGCCUGAUCCAGCCAUGCCGCGUGAGUGAAGAAGGCCUUAGGGUUGUAAAGCUCUUUCAGCGGGACGAUAAUGACGGUACCCGCAGAAGAAGCCCCGGCUAACUUCGUGCCAGCAGCCGCCGUAAC
rnacentral:rRNA from 1 species